UGACUGGAGGGAUAUAUUAUGUUGGGGGGAGUAGGAGGUGGAGCAACGCUGUUUGCAAUGUGUGUGUCACUCUUUGGUCAGCCAGACCAUUUACGAAUAGUAAGAUGUAGGCUGUCUGGAGUACAGAUAUUUGAUCUUCAACAAGAUGAUAGCCACCACGGAGAGAACACUAAAAUUCAAUCAAAGAUAUCUGUGAAGAUUGUAUCUGUGGGUAUAAAAAGAGGCUCCAUUACUAAGCAAGAUAAGGACAGUAUUGGAAUCAGUAUCCCUUGUGUUAAGCUACCCUGUACUGACUCUGACAAUAUUGGCGUACUUUCUCCAAAACCCCCCCCCCCUCUUUAGAUAGUGACGCUACUUCAACAUCUAACGACAGUGAUGUAACUACACUACAUGGUGAUGUCAUUGUUAUUUCUGACAGUGAUGCUACUGUAUCAAUCUUGUCUCCUAAACGUUAUUCAACUGACUCAGAUGCCACAAAGUCUCUUACUUAUAGCCAUGCAGAUUCAUCAUAAUAAACAACAGUGUUAAUUACUCGUCUAUGUGAUUUUAUAUAUCUUUACUAUACUGUCAACAUUUUCUGUGGUGUAACCUUCACUAUAUGCUCGUUCAUAGUCUUUG